AUACGUAGGGGGCGAGCGUUGUCCGGAAUUACUGGGUGUAAAGGGCGUGUAGGCGGGGAUGCAAGUUACCGGUAAAAACCCCAGGCUUAACUUGGGGCCUGCCGAUAAAACUGCAUUUCUUGAGUGCAGGAGAGGGAAGUGGAAUUCCCGGAGUAGCGGUGAAAUGCGUAGAUACCGGGAGGAACACCAGUGGCGAAGGCGGCUUCCUGGCCUGUAACUGACGCUGAGGCGCGAAAGCUGGGGGAGCGAACGGGAUUAGAUACCCCGGUAGUCCCAGCCGUAAACGAUGGUCACUAGGUGUGGGGUGUGGUCAAGCAUUCCGUGCCGGAGCUAACGCAAUAAGUGACCCACCUGGGGAGUACGGCCGCAAGGUUGAA
rnacentral:rRNA from 1 species